rnacentral:rRNA from 1 species
UACGGAGGGGACUAGCGUUGUUCGGAAUUACUGGGCGUAAAGCGCACGUAGGCGGAUUUGUUAGUUAGGGGUGAAAUCCCGAGGCUCAACCUCGGAACUGCCUUUGAUACUGCAAAUCUCGAGUCCGGAAGAGGUGAGUGGAAUUCCUAGUGUAGAGGUGAAAUUCGUAGAUAUUAGGAAGAACACCAGUGGCGAAGGCGGCUCACUGGUCCGGUACUGACGCUGAGGUGCGAAAGCGUGGGGAGCAAACAGG